rnacentral:lncRNA from 1 species
CCUUAACGGCGGCGCCAAUCAGCGUGCUUCCUGGAGGCGGGGCCUGCGGCGGCGCGCGGCUUGUCUGCUAUGCGCGUGCGCUUUGGGCGGUCCACGCGUUCCUCUUAGCGCUGGGUCUCCGCUGCCCUCCUUGAGUGGUCUUUUCCCCGAACCUCCUCCGCGGUCCCUCUGGUGUUUCGGGAUGCCAGUCCAGUGCCGGAUUGCCAUCCUGCUGCUCCCCUAGUCUCGUCAUUGGCAUGCACGUCUAGGCGCAUUGUAGGUGACCACCCACCUCCACACCCCAAGGCCCACCCGACGCUUUAAUGACACCUCAGAACCCAGGCGCCAGCCCCUUCUUCCGCCUCCUCCUUGGUCCACCGCCUUCUGUUUCCGUGGGCUCUAGGACCUUCCUCGGAAAUUUCCCGUCCCUCUUAUGUCCCUUCACACUCCCCUGGGCGCUCCCCUGGCUCCGCUGCUCCCCCAGGGCUGAGCCGGGGCGGUCCAGGGCAGGUAUUUCAGAAAAGACUUCUGAGUGAGUGGCCGAAGCUAUGGUCAGUGCCAGGGGUGAGCUGGGCCUCCCGUCAGGCUUUUCCGGGCUUCCGGCCCCUGGGGGAUGGGAGGAUGCGGGUGGGAAGGGUCUGGGCUCCCCCGAGGGCAACCAGCUGGGUCCGCACGCCCUCAACUCCCUGCAAGUGCAGCCCUGGGUCUCCCGGUCCCUGCUCUGGUUGGAGGCGGUGCCUGGGCGGAACCCCCAAAGAUCGCGGCGGACAGGUGCCACUUGUUUAUUUAAAGUCCCUGAAGCAAAUGGCAACCCACUCCAGUAUUCUUGCCUGGAGAAUCCCAGGGACGGGGGAGCCUGGUGGGCUGCCGUCUAUGGGGUCGCAGAGUUGGACAUGACUGAAGCGACUUAGCAGCAGCAGCAGCAGCAGCAGUGUGUGUAUGUUAAUCCCAAACUCUUAAUUUAUUCCUCCCUCCCGCCCUUCUCUUUUGGUAACCAUAAAGUUUGUUUCCUAUGUCUGUGAGCCGAUUUCAUAAUAAGUUUUUUUGUAUCAUUUUUUAAAGAUUCCACAUAUAAGCAAUACUAUAGAUUUGUAUUUUUAUGUUUUA